rnacentral:snRNA from 1 species
AUACUUACCUGGUAUCGGAGUUGCGAUGAUCCGGACGGGCGCGCUCCCUGGGCGAGGCACGUGCAUUGCCCUUCGCUCGUGUUGACCCAUCGUAUAUAUACACAC